rnacentral:snoRNA from 1 species
UUAAAGCAAAUUCUGUAACACACAAUAAUAACUCUAAACCACUACAAAUUUAUGAUUGGAGUUCAAAAUGCAAUUAGAAUAGCUUUAAUUCAUGUUUUUCUUAAUUCUAAACUAAAUCAAUUCUAAUUCUAAAAU